rnacentral:misc_RNA from 1 species
AAGUCGUAACAAGGUUUCCGUAGGUGAACCUGCGGAAGGAUCAUUAAAAAGUUGAUUAUACGGUGCUUUCUGCUUAGCGGAAGGGUAGCAGAGAUCGCUAGUUCGCUAGUGAUUGAAGCCGCUCGGAAGCUUAGCGGGGGCCUGUAUAUGACCACUUUUAAACCACUUGUGCACUGUUUUUGGUCUCUGGUGGGAUCAGUCGCUAGCGGAUUUAUUUGUAGCUUCGCUCUUCGGAGUGUCGCUACUGCCGCUAGCGAACCCCACCGCUUGUAUUACCAACUUGUAUUUUGAAUGAAAAUAGUUGAUUUCUAACCGAAAGGUAUGAAAUAUAGUUACAACUUUUGGCAACGGAUCUCUUGGCUCUC